GAUGAAACGCUAGCUACAGGCUUAACACAUGCAAGUCGAGGGGCAUCAGGAAGAAAGCUUGCUUUCUUUGCUGGCGACCGGCGCACGGGUGAGUAAACACGUAUCCAACCUGCCCUUUACUCGGGGAUAGCCUUUCGAAAGAACGAUUAAAUACCCGAUGGCAUAAAUGACUCCGCAUGGUUUCAUUAUUAAAAGGAUUCCGGUAAAAAGAUGGGGAUGCGUUCCAUUAGGUUGUU
rnacentral:rRNA from 1 species